GAUUUCUGGUACGAUUUGCUUGGCCCGUCCUCGUCAGAGGCACGUGUGCCGACGUGAAUCUGCCAUCUUUCUAGAGAGCGGCACUGCCCUUAACUGGUGUCGGUGUUUGCUUCCUAGAUCUUUUACUUUGAAAAAAUUAGAGUGUUUAAAGCAGGCUUGCGCUAUGAAUACAUUAGCAUGGAAUAAUAAUUUAGGACUUUGUUUCUAUUUUGUUGGUUUCUAGAGGCGAAGUAAUGAUUGAUAGGGAUAGUUGGGGGUGCUAGUAUUCAGCGGCCAGAGGUGAAAUUCUUGGAUUCGCUGAAGACUAACUUAUGCGAAAGCAUU
rnacentral:rRNA from 1 species